CCGGUUUCUUCUUUCCACCGUCCUUACUCCUUAUCCAAACCUUCUGCUUGAAACCACCGUUUUUUCCACAGGUUUUCGCCAUUCCUUACUUUCGCUCCUCUGCAAAUCCACAGCCUCCAUAUAUGGACUUCUGCCUUCGAGUUCCUUCCAAGGUCUGAUGCUCUUCCAAGCAACGACUUUCCCCACUCGACCUCCACCUCCACCUGAUCUUCCCAAACCAGGGUGGUAUCUUACUUCGAAUUUGUGUGUAUUUUUACCAUGACCAGGGUUAAUCUUUUCUGGGUUGGGCUACCGACUAUUUUUGAUUUGGCGAACCCUUCAUCGGUAGGUUUGGGAUCGAAGUCAUCAGAGAUUGAAGAUAUUGUGAAGGCGGAGUUUUUAAUCAUAAAAUCGUGUUGGUAGUGGCGUUCUAAUUUUUGAACCUGAAAAUAGAGAAUUUCGUCUUAUGGUCAUAGGUGAUUCCACGAAGAGGGUUUUUAGUUUGGGCUACUUUUGAUUUUGUAAAGUGUUUGGGGUUUCUAUCUCGAUGGUUACAGUAAUUGUGGGAAAUAUUCACAUACACAGUGACCUUAAUCUUCAUUUUCGAGACCAGGUAUUCUCAUGAUUUCUUAAUUACAUCAUCUGUUUAGUGUUUACCUGUGUUUAGGUGAAGGAAGAUGGGGUUUUUUCCAACAAACAUAUUGGUAUUUGCAUCUACAAAUCCUGCUGGCAUUUUAUAUAUGGUGAAAGCUUCUGAAUUCAAAGAAAACAGAAAAGAGCAAAAAUAGAUGACCACAUGGAAGAUUCAACCGCUAGAAAUCAUUAUAAUUCAUUAUGGAGAACAAGUAAUUGUAUUGGACAGAAGGGAUCUUGAAUUGCAUUAUAUGUCAACAAAUGAUCUAAGUGGUUGGAAGAACCAUGUACCUUCCAUAAUAUUUUUGAGGAUUUAAUGCGAAGCACAGACAUGGAUGUUGCAAAACGGGUUUGACGUGAGGAGACUUGGAGCCAACAACUAAUUACAUGAAGAAUUUUGAAGUAAGGGAUCAGGUGUUUUCAAGCUAAGGAAAAAGGUAUGACAAUGAAGAACCGAACAAACUGCAACAAUAUUUCUGCUGUUGCUAUACGCAUUACGUAAGUAUGUCAUGGGUUAGAUGAUGUUGGAAUGUGGUAAGGAAAUGCAAACCCUUCGCUUUUUUUCCAAUAUUUUCAAUAAUCUUCGCUUUUUUUUUUUUUUUUUCCGAGAUUUUCAUAAAAAAAACUCAUUUUUCCUGAUCCUAAUAUCAUAUUUCAAUACAGUACAAAAAGAAUCCUUAAUUUCCUUAUUUUAAUACAAUUGUUUAUUACCGGUUCGUUGUCCACCUCCCCUUUGAUUUUUUUAAAGUUUUUUUAUUGCUAGAAACAGCAACGUACUUAACCUCUAUGCUUUAAUUUUUACCCAUAAUAGCAACUUACUUGGAGUUUUCUAUUGGUUAUAGAAAAUUUUAACCUUUUUGUUUUCUCUUCAUUAUGUGACAUGAGAUCAAAUGGUCAAUGUUUCUAUGUAAAAGAUUGGAUGUGCAUUUGCUUAUCAAGAAGAGAAAGCGAAGGACUUAGCUGUUCGCUGGAAUAUCUACAUGAAUCUACAUGUCAAGAAUAAAGCUUUUUUUAGGUGAAUUUGUCACCGCCAUUUUUCGUUGAUUUGUAGUAUCACCGGGGGCAGCUGUUGCUUGGAAAGCUGCAAAUUUAAAAACUGGAACUACAGUGGUCGUAUUUGGACUAGGUGCAAUUAGGAAAGCUGUAUGAUUCUUAUGAACUUAUAUAAAUGAUUCUUAUGAACUUAUAUAAAAAUACAACUUUAAAAGGGUUCAUAAGAGUAAAAUGGGACAAUGUAUGUUUUUUAAA